AUGCAAAAAAUGCCUCAGAGAAGACAGUUUGUCCAACAACUCACAGCCAGCAAGUGUCAGAAUCAAAGACGUGAAUCCAGAGUCUCUAUGCUAUGUUUCUUUGCAGUCCCUCCAGCAAAGUGGAAGCAGCAGUUCUCUGCUGUGCAGGAGAGGACAAGAGAGAUUGGAGUAUGCUCUGCAAACAGACUUGAGGAGAAAUCGAAGGAUAGAAAGGAAGCUGACAGCUUCAAAGAAUGAAUGGCCAGUGGAUUUUCUAGGAGGGAAGAAAAGGUGAGCAAAUUUCCUCAUAGAGAUCAUUGCGGACACCCCAGUAAAAUCCUGCCCUGUGGCUAGUAAAAAAGAGACACAAGUGACUAUAUAGAAAAAAAAAAUCAAAUUCCCAUUACAUGUAAGAUAUACUCACUACACAGAAAUAAUCUAUCUCACCAGAUAAUGAGGCUUAACAAUUUCAGUGAAUGAUCGAAACACAUAUUUUAAAAGAAUAAGAAGUCAGAAAUCAAUGAAGAAAAUUUGAUAGACAUUAAGAUAUAAUUUUAAAUAGUAUAUUAAAUGAACAACUUUUAUUUUUUCUGAUCCCAUUAUUUUUCACCAAAUGGAAUUCAGAGAGUGUCAUCUUCUAUCAACUGCUUCAUAAAUUAUAUUCUCUAAGGAAAUGGAUUAGAAGGAAAGGGAUAAUACUAGUCAUUCAAUCGCUUAAUGGACAGCUUUAAUCCUCAAAAUAUAAUCUUGUCCAAUAGCUGUUUAUUUGAUUGAGAUUAAGAAUACAGAAACUUGGAUGGCUCAGUUGGUUGAGCAUCUGCCUCCUGCUUUCAGAUCUGGUCAUGAUCUUGGGGUCAUGGGAUCGAGCCUCACAUCGGGCUCUGUGCUCCAAGGGAAAUCUGCUUGAGGAUUCCCUCCUACCCCCUCUACUACCCCUACUCACAGUCUGUCUGUCUGUCUCUCUCUCUCUCAGAUAAAUAAAUAAAUCUUAAAUAAAAGAAUACAAAACUAUUAAUUUUCAGUGAUUUCAAAAUAAAACUGAUCACAAAAAUCUAAUAGGUGUCAGUUACACUAGAGCAUAUCAUUGAAUAUUUUAGUUUAGCUGUUUUCAAUAUGUGGUCUGCAGACGCCUAAGGAUCCCCAAGACACUUUCAGUGGCUCAUUGAGGUCAAAGCCAUUUUAAUGGCUUAUUUACCAUUUUCACUGUGUUGACAUUUGAACUUCAGGAUGAAUCAAGACAUGCACCGUGCACCAAACUG
rnacentral:lncRNA from 1 species